rnacentral:lncRNA from 1 species
CAUUGGUUAUAAAUAAUUUAAUUAAUUCAAGUUACAAAUCUAUAACAUUGAGGCAGUAAAACCUUAGAAAGGAUCAUGACAAAAAUCUGCAUGUAUAACUAUAACCAGUUGCCUGCAUUUAACUACAUCAAAAACUCAUUUGAAGACAAGCAUCUAAUUUCGAAAUUUUUUCAGCAGGUAAAACAUUUCUGACAGCUUGAUAAUCCCCAGGGUACUUCACAGAAACAUCUUUAACGAAAUGUACUAAUGUUGACUGUACAUCU